rnacentral:lncRNA from 1 species
UUUUACAGGUUGUGAAAAGUGAAAAAGAAAAUCUAAAAAAGACAAAUGGAGAAGGAAGAGCUAGUGAAGUCAGAGGAAGAUUGGAAGACCCUGGUGUCCUGGAAGCAACUGAAGAAAGUGUUUCAAGAAGAAAGGAGUGAUCACAUGACUUAAAAUGCCACCGAUGGGUCAAAUAAGAACAGAGAAUUGACCAUGGAAUCUGUCAACACAGAAGUCAUCAGUGGCCUUGAUAAAUGUAGUUUCACUGCCAUGAAACAGUAGUUUUGCUCUGAAUGGUUAGCAAAUGGUGAAGCAACUGGAGGGAAUGUGGGGUCAAGGAUAUUUUUUAAAGCUGAGAGUUAUUAUAUCCUAUCAGUAUGCUGAUGGGAAUGAUCCAGUUGAGAUGGAAAAUUUGAUGCUGCAGAUGAGAGAGUGGAUAAUUGCUGGAGUGAUGCUUUUUAAUAAGCAACAGAAGAAGGGAUCCAGUGUGCGAGAGGAGGGGCUGGCCUCAGACAGACACAUGGACGAUUCAUUCAUCAUGAGAGGAGGAAAGGGGGGAAAAAUGAUGUCAUCAGCUGAAAGUGAGAAGCAAGGAGAACUGCGUGCAGGCCUGAAAAGAAAGGAGGCGUGAUGCAGUCAUCUGCCAGAGGGAGUAGGAGAGGCGACCUGCCUGGGGAAAACAGUGUAGGAUUGCUGGGCAGCAAUAUGGCAGCAAUGUGGUCCUCCGAGAAGAGACACCAAAUAGCUUGCUGUCUCUCUCUCUGUGCUCACACACCAAGGAACGGCCAUGUGAGGACACAGCAAGAAAGUAGCCAUCUACAAUUCAGUGAGAAAAAAAAAUCCAUGCUCAAGCCACCCACUCUAUAGCAUUUCGUUAUGGCAGCCAAGCUGAUGAGUACAAGCAUCAAAGAACUUGCAGACAUAUUUUAAUGUCACUACAAGGCCCCAGGGUUUAUAUACAAAUAAACAGCCAGAUAAAGAUCUACACAGGGCAAGAUCUGAAUGGAUGCCGAGAAUAUUUAUCCCCGAAUCAAGUGGAGCAAGGGAACAGAGAAUCUUGCAAGCGAAUUGUUUCUGGAAGUAAACUCCUGUACUCAGUGGAAUCCAGUGGUAAUCCCAACCUUUCUAAGUGUCUCUUUACC